CGGAAGACCAAGGGUUCCUGUCCAACGUUAAUCGGGGCAGGGUGAGUCGACCCCUAAGGCGAGGCCGAAAGGCGUAGUCGAUGGGAAACGGGUUAAUAUUCCCGUACUUGGUGUUACUGCGAAGGGGGGACGGAGAAGGCUAUGUUGGCCGGGCGACGGUUGUCCCGGUUUAAGCGUGUAGGCUGGUUUUCCAGGCAAAUCCGGAAAAUCAAGGCUGAGGCGUGACGACGAGGCACUACGGUGCUGAAGCAACAAAUGCCCUGCUUCCAGGAAAAGCCUCUAAGCAUCAGGUAACACGAAAUCGUACCCCAAACCGACACAGGUGGUCAGGUAGAGAAUACCAAGGCGCUUGAGAGAACUCGGGUGAAGGAACUAGGCAAAAUGGUGCCGUAACUUCGGGAGAAGGCACGCUGACAUGUAGGUGAAGUGAUUUACUCAUGGAGCUGAAGUCAGUCGAAGAUACCAGCUGGCUGCAACUGUUUAUUAAAAACACAGCACUGUGCAAACACGAAAGUGGACGUAUACGGUGUGACGCCUGCCCGGUGCCGGAAGGUUAAUUGAUGGGGUCAGCGCAAGCGAAGCUCCUGAUCGAAGCCCCGGUAAACGGCGGCCGUAACUAUAACGGUCCUAAGGUAGCGAAAUUCCUUGUCGGGUAAGUUCCGACCUGCACGAAUGGCGUAAUGAUGGCCAGGCUGUCUCCACCCGAGACUCAGUGAAAUUGAACUCGCUGUGAAGAUGCAGUGUACCCGCGGCAAGACGGAAAGACCCCGUGAACCUUUACUAUAGCUUGACACUGAACAUUGAGCCUUGAUGUGUAGGAUAGGUGGGAGGCUUUGAAGUGUGGACGCCAGUCUGCAUGGAGCCGACCUUGAAAUACCACCCUUUAAUGUUUGAUGUUCUAACGUGGACCCGUGAUCCGGGUUGCGGACAGUGUCUGGUGGGUAGUUUGACUGGGGCGGUCUCCUCCUAAAGAGUAACGGAGGAGCACGAAGGUUGGCUAAUCCUGGUCGGACAUCAGGAGGUUAGUGCAAUGGCAUAAGCCAGCUUGACUGCGAGCGUGACGGCGCGAGCAGGUGCGAAAGCAGGUCAUAGUGAUCCGGUGGUUCUGAAUGGAAGGGCCAUCGCUCAACGGAUAAAAGGUACUCCGGGGAUAACAGGCUGAUACCGCCCAAGAGUUCAUAUCGACGGCGGUGUUUGGCACCUCGAUGUCGGCUCAUCACAUCCUGGGGCUGAAGUAGGUCCCAAGGGUAUGGCUGUUCGCCAUUUAAAGUGGUACGCGAGCUGGGUUUAGAACGUCGUGAGACAGUUCGGUCCCUAUCUGCCGUGGGCGCUGGAGAACUGAGGGGGGCUGCUCCUAGUACGAGAGGACCGGAGUGGACGCAUCACUGGUGUUCGGGUUGUCAUGCCAAUGGCACUGCCCGGUAGCUAAAUGCGGAAGAGAUAAGUGCUGAAAGCAUCUAAGCACGAAACUUGCCCCGA
rnacentral:rRNA from 1 species